rnacentral:lncRNA from 1 species
CUGGUUCCCUGAUUGCAUUUGGAUCACAGACGUUCUUCUUUCGCACUGCUUGUCGGGACUGUUGCAGAAGUUGGAAGGUGAGGAUCGAUGUUUAUUCCAUCCACAGACCUGUUACCCGUCACCUAUUCUGUAAAUUCCACCCUUUUUAACAACCACUUCGGUUCGGAAAUCCUCAGGUUAAUACCUGACAGUGACAGCAGUGGCGGAUCCAGCCAUUUUAAAAAGGGGUGGGGUCCCAACCCAGAGUAAAUGGGGGGUUCCAACUAUAUUCUCCCAUUCAAAUGCAUUGAUCGUCCAAAAAAAAGGGGGUUCCAACCCGCGGACCUGCCUCCCCUCUCCGACCCCCUCCUGGAUCCACCACUGGACAGUUAUUGGAAAAUCUGGAUUUAGAAUAUGUUUUGUCAUUUGCUUGACCACAAUAAUAUCAACUGUUUAAUGCGUAUUAGACAGAGCGAUAAUUUCUCUUACACAGUUUAAAAAAAAUUAAGAAAUAUCAGAAAUAAAAUUAUUCAUUGAAACAACACUACCAAAUAUAAACCUAUUCAAGUACACCUUUUGCUUUGGGUCCAGGGUGUUCUUGACUUUUGAUUGUAUCAAAUUUUAAAGUUGUGUAGGACUCUUUGUAAACAAUAAAUAAUGGCACUAACAUAAUACUUGUAUUAGUGACUUAAUCACAAUGAAAAUCUGUAAUAGAUCAAACUAAUUAAAAGUCUCUGUUUUGUAUUUUUUUACACAAAUCUGAGCUUUACUUGCAUACAAUCCCUAUUUUCUAUUCGUUUAGAUGAAUUAGAAAAUUAUUUUUGGUUUCCCCUAUCCCUGCUGGGAAUGAAGAUGAAAAAAAAGAAAGAGUUGUUAUGGUUUUCAAAUAGUCUGAUAAUCUCUUUAAAGUGUCAAGUUUAAACAAUAUUUAUUCAGAUAAAUCAACAUUUAACAAUAUUAUACAACAUUUACAAAGGCUAAUAUUUAUUAUUACAUAUUUGUUACAAAUAUGUUGGGUUUUGCAUAUCCAAUAACCUAAAAAUUGCCUGGGGCAAAAAAGAGUAUAUUGAUAUUGUGCGCUGAUUCCAAAUGACGUCACGUCAUUGCCUCCCUAACAACACUUUUGUGAUACAAACUUUAAUAUUUAGGACAAAACUUAGUUUAAACCAGUUUUUACCUUCAAAUAUUAUAUUGAUAUACAAGAAAAUGGUUAUUGCAUGAAUAUUAUACAAUUACUGUCUUUUGGUGAGGUAAAUAUAUGCAGCUUUAUUGACUUUUGAAAAACUGAUAUUCACUGAGGCCGACGGCCGAAACAAAAGACAAUAAUUGUUUUAUUCCAUAUUCCAAGAGAAAAAAAUGUAUUCAAUGACGAACAUAUUAUACCAAAACAAAUUUUACAAGAAUCAUUUUACUGUAACGUUGCAUGUAAAAGGGCGUGACAUUAAGUGCGGUGAACAACACUUUCUCAGGUGAAUAUGCUUUUUUAUUCAAAAUCCAAUUCGUAUAGAGCCUACUAAAAUAAUACCAAUAUGGAAUAAUGGGAAAUAUUGUCCCUCAUGUAGAACAAAUAUUGCACUCGCAAGCUCGUGCAAUAUAAAAUUCUACUCAUAUUAAUGCAAUAGCCCUAUAUUAUUGCAUAGCAAUUUAAUAUUUCCCACAGAUAGUAAUCAAAAGUAAGCCUGCAAUAAAUUCUAAUAUUGCACUAGUGCAAUAAAUCUUCAAAAAUCAUGCCUUCAUCAAAGACAAAAUCUUGCUUUAAAGUAAACCAAUUUUUACCUUCAAAUAUUAUAUUGCUGUACAAUAAAAGGGUUAUUGCACGAAUAUUGGAGUAUAUUGACCCCUCGUAGAACAUAUAUUGCACUCGCAAGCUCGUGCAAUAUACAAUUCUACUCUGGACAAUAUUCAUGCAAUAACCCUAUAAAAUUAAGGAUUCAGAAACAAGCAACUUGCUUUUACAAAUCUGUCUCCUUAAAAGUGUUUCAACAUUUCUCAAUUCUCAUCCCUUCAGUUUCACAUGGAUCAAACCACCAUAUAGAAUGCUAAUUAAACAAACAUUAAUUACAGAUUUAUAACAUGUAUAACAACAUCAUUCUCUGUAGAUAGUCCUAUAACAGAUGACUUUGCAUUCAUAUUAAAUUUUUAACAUUUUUAUACAUUUAUUUUCAUUUUUUUUUUAAUCCUCGGGUGGCACAUAUAAUUUUUAUUAUUAUUAGUAGAAAAAAAUAUCAGAACAGUAAAUAGAAAUAGUAAAUAAUGCCCUGAGGUCAUAUGGGUCAGUCCAUUCACACAGUGCUUUAGUGGUAUAACAGGGAAAACCUGUAAUAUUUUUUUGUAUGGAGCCAUUGAAUGCUACAAAAUGGUCAAACAUGUUUCUGAUAUAAUGAAGAGACAUAGUAUGAAUAGUUUUAUUUUGGUUGGUUGUCAACUUUUUUUUAUAAUAAAGAUUAUAUUUCAAAACGGCCUCAUUUAUACCUUUUCAAAUGGGACAAUUAGUUCUUUACCAAGUAUAAGAUGAAAAACAAAUAUGGACCAUAAUUUGCUAUUGGGCUCGUUUCCUAUAACGAUAGAAAAGUGAUAAAAAUGUGUAUUACUGUAAGAAAAGUUGUAACUACAUCUAAAGAUGCCUUUAUUUUAUCAACAUACAAGUGUAUGCUACUCUUCCCUAGAAAAAAAAUUGAAAUUAACAAAUUUCAAAGAUUAUACGACAGUAUUUUUGUGUCGUUUCUCGCGUUACUUUUCGCUUCCGAAGUGCAUAACGCUGACUGAUUUAUAGAUAAUCGUCACCGGCAAAUUCGUAACUUUUGCUUUCAAAUAAUAAAGAACAUCGACCAAUAAGAAUAGUCAGAAGAAAAUACCGAGAACUAUAAGUAUUUCUGUAGCAGGUGUAAGAACACCAGCGUUACAGUACUUUGGUUUCCAAUUUCGUAACGCAAAUUUUAGAUGAAGUAAUCUGCUUUGUUGUAAUAGAAUUCUUUAUAACAAUAUGCAAAUAUGAACUCUCGCGAGAUGUUCAAACAGGUAAAUCAGAGAUGAUUUACAUUCUAGUUUUGUUCUUCGUAAUAAUUAAGUUAGAAAAUGACGUUAUCGUUAUGCGUUACAUUUCAAACGAAACAGAAGUCCAGUUAUUUCCUUUUUUUUAUUAAAAUUGUUUUUGUCGUUAAGUUCUAAUCAUUUCCGGUCAUACGUGAAACAUGUGACUAACAUGUGAUCACGCCCUUACGGCCGGAUGUAUGAAAUACUAGGUCUAAACAUUGUUUUUGUUUCCAACGGGAUGUUAGCAAACAUAAUCUGUAGACUUGUUUCGUCUUGUUUAAAAAAGGAAAAUACAAUUUUCAAAGAGAUUGCACCGGGUUCUAUUGUUUUUCCUAUGUGCAUAAUGCUACAUACGAUCUUGUGUGAAAAUAAAUGCCCAAUGACUUGACAAAAUCGAUUUCAGAUUUGACAGACGUUAUGACACACUUUGUUUCCUGAUAACGAUGUAAAGGUUCCUUGGAAAAUUCAAUCGACAUUACGUCUCUUAUCAUUGUGCCGAUGCUCGUUGGAUUGAUUUUGCUUCAGCAGUAAAUAUUACUGGAUAUUUAAGGUGAAUAAAGAUAACUUAAUAAAAAAUACAUGUUAAUAUACCGUUACACUUGGAGUGUACAAAGUUGGUAUCUUUGUCACAAUUUUUAAUUAUUUUUUUUUAUUCAUGUUCUGCAAACACUUUUCAGAAACGCAAUAAACUUGUCAAAGGAGAAGUAAACUUUUCCAUGCAUGACUUGAAAGGAAAUACUUUAUUGAUUUUAGCCCACUAAAGUAGGUUAAAAUGUGGAAACCAUGUAGAUGGUGUACAGGUCACAAAUAUCACAUGGUGCCUAUUUUAAAGAUUUUAAUUCCAAGUUAAACGUUUUUUUUUCUUUACUGGAUUUAAAGAAUUUUACAUUGCCAAUGAUUUGGAAUAAAUUGUAUAUAACUGGAAUUUCAAAACCAAAUAUAAAUACAUUUUUUUGGCUAAAACAUUAUGGUAUCCUGUAUCAAUAAAGAAAAUAUGGAAAUUUCUGAAUAAAUUGUACUAAUUGUUUUCAAAACAAGCACAUAUUUAGGAGUUUUAUAAUACUCUUACAUUUAAGAUGGAUUUUAAGAAAAAGUAUACUGUUCAGACUAUUUCAAGCAGAUUUUGCAAUAAAAUAAAACGAAAAAAAUGCUUUCGGUUUCUUAUGGUUUCCUGUCGCGUUUAAAAAAACUUUAAUUAAACAUUGAAAAUAAAUUUUAAAUAUUAACAUGAAGCAAGUAACACUAAUAAUGGUGUUCAUUUAUGUCUUUUGAAAUAUAUUGUACAAAAUAAAGAAAAUAAAGAUUGGUUUCCUGUUUGGUUUCCUGUCAUGUGAAUCAAAAUGUAUUAUUUUUUUCUUGAAAACUCAAUUGUUCCAUUAAAACUAUUCUAACACCAACACAACCCACAGAAUAAAAGUUAAAGUUUUAGAACUUAUAAAAAAGGAUACAAAAAGAAACCAAAGGCCGAAUACCAAAUUAUGGUCCAUAUGUUGAAAAAAUAUAGGGUGAAUGGUUUUUAUUCAUUUCAGUACUCAAUACUGUGUCUUUUGUCUGAAACUACUUUUUUGGUGAAUUUGAUUUGCGAAACUGGGUGAUUUUUAACAUUUAAAUAUGCUGUUCAUAUGUGAUUCAGUAUGAUUACAUUCCGUCAAAUUAACAUUUACAGAAAAUUAUUCGUAAGGCACAUAACAGAUUUCAGUUGAAAGUUUAUAUAUAUGUUAUCUAUAAUACUAAUAUAAAAUAAUGAGAUCCAAUUUGUCAACCUCAUGGGGAAAAAACGACACAUCCAAGAAUUCAACUUUAUCAUGUUUAUAUAGCUAAUAUCGGACAAUGAUGUUGAUUAAAAAUUACACCACUCCGGACCCUUUUGUUUUCCACAUAAUUAAAAUUACCAAGUUCCGUGUCGAAUCAGAUACCGAUACCAAUAGUAUAUUCACCUGAUACCUAUUACCUUAUCUGUACGUUCUGCAUCUGACAGGAGCACCACCAAACAGUGUAUUUAGGAUUUUGCUAUAUACACGGGUUAUGAUAUCAGGGUUGACACUAAUAAAUGCAAUCAUUGUCACAUUGUUCCCUAUUGUAGUAUUUUAAUCAGUAAGACUUUCUAAGAUGACAAUAGCAAUACUAAAAAUCUAAACUAAGAAUAAGGUACAGUUUUUUUUUAAAUUUGUUAGCCGGCAUGACGUAAAACAGCGAAUCAAAAAAUUCACUGAUAUAGGACAAUGUUGUUGAUUAAAAAAAAACUCCAUUCCAGGCCCUUUUGUUUUCCAAAUAAGUAAUAUUACCAAUAAUUGAUAAGUUCCAGGUCAAUGGGUUCAAACAGAAAGAUUUUGAAAGCAGAGAAAACUGUGCACAUUAUAAUCAGCAUGACUUUAACAGCAUGACUUUAUCAGAUGACAAUAUCAAUACUAAAGUGAGGGUUACGCAUAGUUAUAUACUUUUAAUUCAGUCACAUAACCGUGAUAUUACAGGUGUGUUCUAGAAGGAAUAAUAUAUAUAUAUAACAAGUCUCAACAAUCCAUUACUAUUCAUUUAAGUAACAAUACCUUUGUUUACUAUCAACCACCUUGACACUUUUUCACAGACAAUGUAAAUAUUUUAAUUUGUCAGAUAUGCUGUGAUGGACAUUCCUUCAUGAUAAAAACUAAGUACUAUUAAAUUCUGUCCUAUAAGGUUGAUUUUCAAGAAGAGGACUUUUUCACAGUGAAAGGUGUCCUUUAAAGGGAGAUAAUAAAAAAGUCACUGAUCUUUAAAUGUGCUAAGGGUUUUUUACCUAUUCUGCAUCAAUUAAAGAAAAUGAAAGAUCUAGUCUAUGAAUCACAGCUUAUUGGGAGCUGUCGAUUAGCACUAAAUCUAAAGAAACUUCUUACAUGAGCAAAAUUCAGUACACUGAAGGUGGCAGAAAUUCAAAACUGAAGGGAUCCAAAAUGUGGAACGUGCGAAAUGCUAAAAGUGAGACAAAGUAAAACUCUGAAAUCAGGCGCAGCAAUUAAACCGAAUAAAAGCAUGAACAGGGCCUUUUAUAGCUGACUAUGCGGUAUGGGCAUUGCUCAUUGUUGAAGGCCGUACGGUGACCUAUAGUUGUUAAUAUCUGUGUCAUUUUGGUCUCAUGUGGACAGUUGUCUCAUUGGCAAUCAUACAAUAUCUUCUUUUUUAUAUGAACUGUAAAUCGGAAAAAAAUAUUUAUUGUGCAACCUGUCCCACUUGUAAUUAAAAGUACAUAAGUCUAACCAACAGACUAAUUGAUAGAGUGAGAGUUCACAAAGUGACAGCAGACAAAGGACCCGUCAAUUAGAAACUCUCCAUGUUCUGAACACUUUGACCAAUGUGGAAAGGGAAAAUUUAAAUAUUUAGCUUUUUAGCUCACCUGACCUGAAAGGUCAAGUGAGCUUUUCUCAUCACUUGGUGUCCGUCGUCCAUCGUCGUGAUGCCCCUGGAUUGGUAAUUUUAAGGAAAUUUUGCAGUUUUUGGUUAUUAUCUUGAAUAUUAUUAUGGAUAGAGAUAAACUGUAAACAGCAAUAAUGUUCAGCAAAGUAAGAUCUACAAAAAAGUUCACAUGACCAAAAUGGUCAGUUGACUCCUUAACAAGUGAUUGCCCUUUAUAGUCAAUUUUUGUCAAUUUUUUCGUAAAUUUUUGCAAUUUUUACAAAAAUCUUCUCUGAAACUUCUAAUAAAAUUUAACCAAACUUGUCCACAAUUAUCACUUGGGUAUCUAGUUUAAAAAAAUGUGUCCGAUGACCCUGCCCGGCAAUUCAAGAUGGCUAAAAAUAGUACAUAGGGUAAAAUGCAGUUUUUGGCUAAAAUCUCAGAAACGAAAGUAUCUUAAAAAGCAAAUCUGACGAAGCUCAAUUUGUUUGUUAGGUCAAGGUUUAUCUGCCCUGAAAUUUCCAGACCAAUCAGGCAACCUGUUUUUGGGUUGCUGCCCCUGAAUUGGUAAUUUUAAGAAAAUUUAGCAGCUUUUGGUUAUUAUCUUGAAUAUUAUUAUAGAUAGAGAUAAACUGUAAACAGCAAUAAUGUAAAUCUAAGUAAGACCUACAAAUAAGUCAACAUCAUGAUGAAAUUGGUCAAUUGACCCCUUAAAGAGUUAUUGUCCUUUAUAUAUAAAUAGUCAAUUUUUGAACAAUUUUCAUAAAUUUUGUAAAUCUUGUAAAACUUUACAAAAUAUUUUAACUACAAUGUACUGGAACAGAUUCAUAGGUUCAUUAUAGAAAGAGAUAAUUGUAAGCAGCAAGAAUGUUCAGUAAAGUAAGAUCUACAAUCGCAUCACCAUCAUCAAAACACAAUUUUGUCAUGAAUCCAUCUGUGUCCUUCUUUUAUAAUGAUAUGCACAUAGACCAAGGUGGGCGACACAUGCUCUAAUAAGAGCCUCUAGUUUAAGAUGUGGACCGAAGAUAAAAUUCUACGUAAAGCCAAGGAAUAAUAUUUUCUUGAACUACAUACAAUGUAUAAGCCGACUUUAAAUAGGAAGUGAAAUUUGGUCUGUGAAUAAGAUUCCGUAAUAUAUACAAACUACAAUAUGAUGUUACUAUUUGGUAACGUCACAAGUUGUUACUAGUAACGAUAAAAAUUCUGUCUGAUGAAGCUUAAUUCUUUUUUUUUCAUUAAUAAAAAAUCUACAGCUGAUGAAGUAUAAAACUUUAAUCUAUUUCAACACAAACUAUAAGAAUGUUUAAAAUUUAAAAAAGUCACAGAAUUUAAAUUAAAAAAAAAAAACUUUGCAUUAUUUGUUAAAAGGACAGUAUGGAGUCAGUUCAUUAUUAUUAUUGGAGCACAUGUCCUGUGCAUGCUAUGUAUAUAUAGUAUAAUAGAUUUAUAAUGUCUUGUCUAUCUUAAGUUUGGUUAAACUGCCUACUGGGAAAACAUUAUUACAUGUUUACAUUCCCAAUUACUACUAUUAGUCAAUUAUGUGUGAAAAAUUUCAAUUUCAUGGGUUUUAAUCCCCCAGGAUGUGAAACAUCAUUAGAAUUUGUGUAUAUAAAUGAAGAGAUAUGAAAAUUUUAUUCUCAGUACUGUCUCAGUUACUUAAUUAAAGACAACAAAAGUAUUAAAUUAGGGAAAUAUAAUAUUCCCCCAAAAAAUGAACAUUGAGAAGUUCUCACUCUGAUACACAUUUCAAUGAUUAAUUAAAUCAUCUUUUAUAAAUUAGAUGUGAGGACAUGAUGGAUAAUUUAUAAACUCUUUCCUUACUUAGAAAAAGCACCUGGUUUCAUUAAGAGCACAAAUUUCAGUGGGAAGGUGCAGAGCCUCUAUAUAUUUACUGUUCUCCCAGAUACUGAUUUGUGAACAUGUAAAAAUAAGGCAGCUAAUGCACUCAUGUAACCUCAACAACGAUAGCGACAAAGGUAUAAUUUUUUUUCCAAUUUCUCAUUGAAUUUGAUGUGAUGUAAAUUUUCUGUUAGAAACUCAAACGACUGUCUAUCUAAACUACAAGACUGUUUUAUCUUGAUUUUGCAGAUCUUUUUUCUAGGUGUACAUCUGCCCAAGUAUUGAACAUCAGCUUGAAAUGCAAUGUGACCUAAAAGACAGCAUAAUAAUGGACAGAUGUAAGUAAUGAUAAAAUAGUCAAUGAUAUGGGAAAUAUAUGAAAUUGUAAGAAAAAAGUUGACAGACAUAUUGUUUUACACCUGUCCCUCCGUCAGUAAGUUUUAGGUCAAAGUGCAGCCUUCAACAAUGAGCAAAGCUCAUACUGCAUAGUCAUAUAUAUAAAAGGCCCUGAAAUUACAAUUGUAAACCAAUUCAAAACUAUUGACCUUAAUUUUAAUAUACAAAUAAAAUAACUAAAAACAAAUAUGCAACACAGCAACAUACAACAACCCAUGAUUGUCCAGGUUCCUGACUUGGGACAGGCACAGAAGAUGGCAGAGUUAAACAUGUUAGUGGGAUCCAAGCCCUCAUAAAAUCAUGUAUUUUAGAUAUUCUCCUCAAGAAAAUCUGAUAUAUCAGAAAUGUAAAUCACAUCAACCAUUGUCAACACUUUUAAAUGUUGUACUUAACUUUAUUUGAUUUAUGCUUAUAUAAAGAAGAUGUGGUAUGAUUGUCAAUGAGACAACUCUCCACAAGAGACCAAAUGACACAGAAAUUAACAACUAAAGGUCACUGUACUGCCUUCAACAAUGAGGAAAGCCCAUACCACAGUCAGCUAUAAAAGGUCCAAAAAUGAUAAAUGUAAAACAAGAAAACAAGAAAACUUAGACUGCCUAAUUUAUGUACCAAAAAUGAACUAAAAACAAAUAUGUAACACAUCAACAAAUGACAACCACUGCAUAAAAGGCUCCUGACUUGGAACAGACACAUACAUUACAUUGUACCUUAAUAUUUUAAUUCACAUAUUUGUUUAAAAUCUAUUAUAUGUUUUUUCUCAUGGCAGCUCUAAUAUAAAAAUGUAUUUUUCUUUUGAGUUCAUUAUCUUCUUUAUUUCUAAACACCUGUUAUACAUCUUUUUUUUUAGCUCACCUGGCCCAAAGGGCCGGCUUUGUCCAUUAACUUUUACAAAAAUCUUCUCCUCUAAAACAACUGGGCCAAAUUUAACUAUACUUGGCCACAAUCAUCAUUUGGGUAUCUACAAAUGUAGUACUUUAAAAAAAUGUGUCUGAUAAACAUGUUGUUGUCGUGGUGUACAGUGCCCUCUUAAACCAUCAGGUUUUUACUGUACUGCAAUAAAAAAAAAACACAUAAUCAAUAUCAGGGAACUCCAAAUAAAUGAAGUAAUUGAAAACUUGUUCUAAACCCAAACUGCACUUUAACUUUACUUUGUCUCAACCAUAAAGUGUUGUGAAACGUUUACACAAUGCUUGUUAGCACCAAAUUCUGAUCAAGUGACUUUCGUCAUUCUUAUAUUAUCAUGAUUAUGUUUCUUUAUUUUAGGACAAAGGAUAAAUUAGAGAUAUUUUUACAAGCAGGAACAUUUGAGUCCCUCAUAUGCACAUUCUUGUUUUAUUUAUUACAUAUUUUAGUUUAUUAAAGUAAUUAUAUAUAUACUGCUUCCACCUUUCAAAAUUCUAACAAAGCUCUAUCUCUUUAAUGGAUAAAUAAAUGAUACUAGUCAAGAACUCAACAGAUAAUUUUUUUCAGGUUCUCUGGUCGUAAAGUGUACUUGUUGGCCACACACAUGAAGAUUCGCAUUGAUCCUGCUUUCAGCUAAAUAUCAGAAAAAUUAAGAACAAAGGAAAAUAUGCUGAAACUGUACAGUCACUGGUCAGGACUAUUUCAGAAGUGAAAUUAUAAUACAAUUUAUGUUACUGGUUAAUUCCUAUGAUUUGCAAUUUUAAACAACACACAGAGGCUUUGCAUUAUUGUUUUACAAGAGAGACACCAAAAGAUGCAGUCAACAUUUAUCAUUUUUAUCAAAAUACGCCCAGGACAAACCAUGGGUACACUUAGCUUGAAAUAUGGUGCUUUCAUACCAAAAUUGCCUGGAAGUAAAAGAAAUAAAGAACCAAAAUUCAUGUCAGCAAUCAGGGGAUAAGAUGAAAGAAUGCAGAAUAAGGUACUGUCAUAUUCAGUCUUAAUAAGAGUCCUGCUGCUCUAUAUAUAUAUAUAUAUAUAUAUAUGCAUUUUGUUAUGCCCUGUCGUAGCGGAGGGGCAUUAAGUUUUAUCCUUGUAUGUUUGUACAUAAUGUUAGAUAUAAGAAGAUGUGGUAUGACUCCCAAUGAGACAACUCUCCAUCCAAGUCACAAUUUGUAAAAGAAAAACCAUUAUAGGUCAAAGUACAGUCUUCAACACAGAGCCUUGGCUCACACCCAACAGUAACCUAUUAUUAAUUUAAGGACCCAAAAAAUUACUAGUGUGAAACCAGCUUUCAAACAUUAAAACCAACGGUUUAAUCUAUAUAAAAAAAAGAGAAAAGAGAAACACUUAUAGUGCAUGAUUUUCUCACUGUGUUGAAGACCCAUUGGUGGACUUUGGUUGUUGUCUGCACUUUGGUCGGGUUGUUGACAUAUUUCCCCCAUUUCCAUUCUCAAUGGUCAACAAGUGAUUGAAAAAUUGAAUAACCAAAAACACACAAACAUCUGCUGUCAACACCAAAAUUCCCCAAAACAAAGGGCUUUAGGGGGGAUCGCAGGUAUAAACUAAUUUUUGUUUUUAAACAUAGAAUUUUGCUAUUUUUUUCUAGAAAUAAACAUUUUCCUAUACUUAAAUAGAAAAAUAAAAGUAUAGGGUCAAUGUUCAUUUAAGCUCACAAUCUGCCUUCGAAGGAAGCAUGUAUUUUUUGCUAAGUACCUUUUUUCUGUAGAACUAAAACAUGUAAUAGGACAAAAUGUAGAAGGAAAAAGAUGUAAUGUCAAAAUAUAAAGAACUUAAGUACAGAAAUUUCUUAAAUUUUAGAAUAGUUGAGUUUUAGUACAGCUUAUUUGAGAAAAAAUAAUGAAAAAUAUAAGACACCCAUGAGUUGAAAAAGAUAUUUCAAUUUUAAUGCAAAAAAAUGGCAUUUUUUCAUCUAAGGGAGAUAAUUUAGAGCUUUUUCAAUGGUAUAUACAUUUCAAAAGUUAUCUGGGGCCAAAACAAAAUGAUUUUUUUUGGGUUGAUUUUUGUACCAUACCAUACAUUAACCUCUAGUAGUGUAAGAAAUAAAAUUUGUAAUGAAAAAAAAUGUUUAAAUUUUUGCUGAAUUUUUAUACCCUCGAGCAUCCUUAAGAUACAACUUUAGGUGUCAGGAAUGGUCUUGACUUGGGAAAGCCACAUUCAAACUCAAUAUUGCUCCCCUUUUAAAUCUUGAUCAGUGUAAAAAGAAAAAAAGUAACAUAAAAGAAUGCAGGUUGCCAGGAACAUUCAAUUGGAGAAAGGGAAAAGAACACAACUCUACACUAAAUAAUUUUGAAAACUUUUUGGCUAAACUAUCUUUAUUGAUAACAAUUUUUAGAAACGUUAUGUACAUUAUGAUCAUGUUGAUUGUGUGAAACGUCACACAAGGCAAUCAAAAUGGUCAGAGGGGGAAAAGAAAUUUUGUUAUAAAUGUCAAAUGGUUAUACAUGUUAUAGUCUCAACCUAUCAACAUGAUCAAAAUUGUUGAUUUCACAGUUAAAAUUUACUUUUAGCAUGUUCAGCGGAAUAGAAUGUUUUUGUUAUAUUUUAUUAAAUGUUAAUUUACUUUGCUCUUAUAGGCAGGAGUGAAAGGAAGAGAAAACUAGGCAUCAGUAAAGAAGCAGAUCAAUUUAUAUUAAUAUGUAAUAAUUCCAUCUGAAUAUGUUACAAACAUUGCACAUGCUAUGAAGAUUUAUUCACAUGUAUACUAUGAUUUGUAGUUAUAUUU